rnacentral:rRNA from 1 species
UACGAAGGGUGCAAGCGUUACUCGGAAUUACUGGGCGUAAAGGGAGCGUAGGCGGACAGUUUAGUCAGAGGUGAAAGCCCAGGGCUCAACCUUGGAAUUGCCUUUGAUACUGACUGUCUUGAGUAUGGGAGAGGUGUGUGGAACUCCGAGUGUAGAGGUGAAAUUCGUAGAUAUUCGGAAGAACACCAGUGGCGAAGGCGACACACUGGCCCAUUACUGACGCUGAGGCUCGAAAGCGUGGGGAGCAAAC